rnacentral:lncRNA from 1 species
CUGCUCUGUGGAGCCGGCUCUGAAUCACACCUCUCUGAGACUGCUCUGCUCCUGGCCCGGUGGUUUUCCCUCCCCUUCCCUCAACUGGAACGGAGACCUGAUGCAUGCUGUACAAGAUCAGAUCAACCCAGGGCAGCAAACUAAUCCACUCAACACCAAUAACAUGCUGCUGCCCUCUGGAGGCCUGACAUCUAAUAACAGCUUGUUUACAUGCACUGGCUCCCAUGUCGCCCUACAAGAAAGGACACAGUGCAGUGUGCGCACAUAUAUUCCCCCUGCAGAGCCGGUGUGUUUUGCCUAUGUGACUAAUAACCAACUGUAUCUGAUGCUGUCCUGCUCCUGGGAUGGAGGGGCCCCGAAAGCCCUGUUGUGGUGGGAGGGCCCUGAUGGUCAGAGCAAAAGCGCAGAAGAAAACUCCAACAUCCUGAUCCUUCGCUACGGCACUGCCCGCAGUGGGAAGCCCUACACCUGCCAUGCUAAGCACCCACUUCUUGUCCAAACCAAGACCUGCAGACUCACACUGGAGGCCCCUGUGUUGCUGACGCAGCGCAGAGUGGUGUCUGUGUAUGAGGGGAGUGAUGUGCAGCUCACCUGCAAUCUGAGGACCAACUAUCUUCCCGCCAGUGAAAUCACCUGGUUUAACAAUCAAGGUGCCGACAUCCAAGACACCUCCAAAUACACGCUCCAGCAAACAUCUGCCUGGGCCAAUCUGACAGUGAGAGACGCGGACCAGACUCAGGACAGUGGCG